AUUGUGAAGUCCCAGAUCUAAGGAGUGGCUGCUAGGACUCUGAACACGAAAGAUAUUUUGAGGCGGAUCUCCUGUAAAGCUUCUAUUUGUAUUUCAACAAAUCUAUCAUAUCUAAGGAAUGCAAUGUCUCCAGAGUUGCGAGGACAUCAAAUUCCUAUGGCCAAGGAAAGCUGGAGGAGAGUCUUCUUCGAAAAUGUUAUGAGGAUAGACUCUUCUUUCCAAUAACAGCUAUCCAUGGGCAAGUAACUCAAGAAGAUCCAAGAUUUAACUGUGCUCUGUGUGAGGAUACGUAUCUUUUUGUGUUUCUUUGAAUCUGCCAU
rnacentral:lncRNA from 1 species